GAGGGUAUAGCUCAAUGGUAGAGUGUGUGCUUAGCAUGCAGGAGGUCCUGGGUUCAAUCCCCAAUAACUCCA
rnacentral:tRNA from 1 species